UGGGACUAAAAAACUUGAAGAUUCUUUAUUUUACAGGGAAUCCCAUAGAGAAACAACAAUCUGCCAUGGGGAAGUGGAGGACAGAGGCAGUGAACAGAAUAAAGUCCCUAGAACGAUUGGAUGGUGUUCCGGUGUUUUCAACAACACUGGAUGCUGAUACAUAUUGGGACCUGGAGAUGAAUAGUAUCUGACUUGGCUAUAUGGGAUUCCAUACCAACAUUUAUGAAAGUGUCUUUCUCUAGUCAUCAAGAACACUUCAAGACUGUUUUACCUACUAGUAUCCUUGUUAGGAACUACUUUCUUCAAAGGAUUGAUGAAUAAUUUGUUUUUGACAAGUUCCACUCAAAACAAAGCAAAAACUCAAACACAUAGUAAAACGUACUGCUCUUUUGAGCCAUUUAUUUGGUAAAAAUAUGUAUGUUAAAGAAUUUGGUUCCAAUACUGAGAUAUAAUAGAGUUAAUGACAUCACAUUGUGAGUGAAUAACAGAUGUAGUCAUGAGAUGCAGAGAUGAGAAAGCAGGCAUGUUUUAUACAGUAAUGCCAAGUUCUGGCCUUUGUCAGGACAGACACACUAAGAAAUCUCUCAAACACUUUGAAUAUUAUGUGUUCAACGAUAUAAAUUGGUUGUUGAGUCUACCGGAACCAUACACAGGAAGAUCAGUAUUAUAAAUAUUACAACCCAUUUUGAACUAAGGAUUUAAACAACCAAUAUGCAAUCUUACUGUUUUCAAUGAUGUUUCCGACCUGAUCCCUUAAAAAUAUCACUUACUGGUAUGUACUAGGUACACUGAUUAGUUAAGGUGUGUGUUUUACACAUAAAUGAUAAAUAGGAAUGUGAACCAACAGAUUGUGUAACUGAUCAACAUCUAUGUGGUACUUCAUUAGUUAGUGACACGGACUAGAGCAAGUCUAUCACACAGACCACAGUCUGUCACACCGAUAAUAUCUGUCUGCUGCCAACGUCAGUCCACCAUAUAUUACCAUACGGAUUUAUGUCAGUAACAGGGAAUAUACAAGCCAGAUAAAUCCUCAUCUCGGGUGUUGAUCGUUGAUGAAAAUUGUUAUUGAUGCUGAUGGCCAUUUAUAAACUACUGAUAGUAUAUGUUGAGGAAGCUUCAAGAGACAGUUAACAGAAAUUUUUUCUGUAAAUAUCUCACUUACAAUAUAUCUGGGAAUCUCAGAGAAAUCAUUUAUAGACACAUUAAAGAUAAGCACAUGUUCUAUUCAUGAGUGGAAGUUGACAGAAAAAUUCAAUACAAGAAUAUGUAUAACAGCACUGGUAACUAGUACCAAUGGUAAGUAGGUCUGGACAAAUGAUGACACAAUUAAAAUGUACAUAUAUCAAAUGAGAUUGUUAUUUGUUUAACAAAAAGCACUUUCUUUUUUAAAAUCUUUAAAUCUAUACAAGAAUGAUCAAUCUAUUAUUUAUAAUACUUUACAACAAACAAUUCUGUAAUAAACUAAUGUAAUAGUGACAUCAUGACUGACAAAACACAUACCAAUAAAUUGAUGGUCGAAGAUAUUCCACAACCAAAAAUGUCCAAACAUCCUUCAUCACUCGCCAUACCUUCUGUAUAAUGAACAGUUAAGUACACUAUUUACAACAUAAAGCAAACUUUCACACAUCACAUAAACAUUUUCACUUGAUCAUACCAUAUGCACGUUUUCAACAAAAUAUUCAAGAAUGGAUAAAAAAUAUAGUAAUCCUGUCAUAAAGUUGACUAAUAAAAAAUACAAAUGCUAAAAGCUUUCCUUUCAGGAAAAUAAUUCCCCCCUGUUUCUCCCCGACCACAUCGGGUCACUAACACACAGCACAGCCUUGUAAUAAUAGUUUACAUUAAGAUAGAAGACCAAGAUAAUUUAGAGUUUAGAUUUUAAAAAGAAAGAUAACAUAAAUAUAAAUUUCCAUCUAUAUUUUGGUACAGAAACCUACUUGCCUUUUAUCCAAGUAAAAGACGAAAGUUGAGAGGAUAAAUAAUGAAAAAUAUCAAGAUUAGCUUUCCUACGAGAAAUAUCAUUUGAACAUUUCCAAGAUACAUAGAAACAUUUAGAAAAUAUAGAAUAACACCUUCAAUGAUUUAGGACAAAGAGAUACAACAGAGAUAAGAAACAUUAACAAGAUAAACACAGAAACAAUAUCCAAAGUAAAUUCAUGUCCCAAAAUGAAAUACUAGUAUCUAGAAACUUUUUGCUAAUCCUUCAUCAGAUGAUUAGUUGAUAACAUUCAGAUUUAGCCUGACCACUGGUCACUUCUCUCAAACUUUUUUUGCGUGUAUUCAUCUGAAUGUUAAGAAAUGUAACAGACACUGGUCAUUUAUCAUAAUUAACUAUCCUCAGUGAUUGGGUGGGAAGUUUUUUGUAGUCCAUGAAUCUAAUUAUUGUUCACACAUGCAUAUCUGAACAAAUUUAGAAUUGAAGCAUUCAGAAAAAUCCACUUAUAUGCCAGAUGCAGCUUACAAGUUUGUUUCAAAUUGAGACCCUAUCUAUGGUCCAUAUUUUUUGUGACAAUGUGUAUUCAACACAGAUAUUGCGAUUGAAGAGCUUUGACAACGGAUAGAAGAUAUAUAGAAGACAGCCAUUAAUAUUCACAAAAAUAAAUCCUCUGUUUGAGGAUAGGAAGAAAAAAUAGAAUUACACAUUCACUAGAACAGCUGAUAUCAACGUUGAGCUUUGAUCCAGUUGGUUAAAGGCUAGAAGAACAAAGGUAUUUUAACUAAUACCUAUAUUACACACAGUUAGCACCAACAAGAAAUUAUUAUUUCUCAUACAAUAUUCAUAGACUGGUACUAUAGACCAACUUCAUCCCAAUUACAACUACCUCCCUAAAAAAAAAAAAAAAAAAAAACCAAGCCCUCACUU